AGAUAGCCAAAUGAGAAAAAAUAUAAAGGAAUAAAAGGUCAUCUCCAUACAUAGCUUUUGCCGUCAUCUAUUUAAGAAGUGGUUAACUGGCUCCUAAGUGACUGCAGCAACGUCGCGAGGCUGUGCGGAACGCUGAGGCUCUACCACAGUCGAGCCCGAGCUACGAGUAGAAGAACGAAGGGAAAAAUCAUAUCCCUGAAG